GGAGUGUGCUUUACCAGGCCCAGGUAAAAGGGCGAUUUAUGAAACCAUACCGGUGUGGUGCAGCUGAAGUUUAAGGUGGUACAGUUGCAGUUGAAGCUUCAAAGCUUUAGUAGAAGUGGUGCAUCUCGCACGUGACUCCGUGAUACGAAUGGUCGAUGUGAACAGUUAUCUUGAACACGGUAAUUCUAAAUUGUAAAUGUCCGUUUCUUCUCCAACAUCGACCAUAUUUGCUCGUGCUUAUUAUACUUUUAUUCUUUGGUGGGCUCACUUUGGGAGCAGUGAGCAUUUCGACGCUGCUAUUGCGCACGCUCCGCUCUGAAAUGGGUACAAUUUAUUCAUACCUACCUGUCUUCCGAUCGGUACAACCCGCGCGGGUGCAAGGUGAAGGUGUUUUGUGCCAAAUUUAUGCGCAUAGGCAUACCCCGGCCAACACGUGGAAACGUGAGGCAGCAUUUCGCUCCCGGAGCUAUGAUUCGCAUUAAAAUUGCAUUAAAACCCGCAUGUCCUGGGGUACGCGCCAUAAUCCCACCAGAAAAGAGGAGCAUUUCACGGCAACGCUAGAGCCGCACCCGGUCCGGCUAGGUUAGGAGCGAAUAGAUCGGAACAAUCGUUUGUCAACGCCGGUUUCUUUGCGCCGUCAGAAUAUCGAGUAAUUAUGCCGCCCAUUCCCAACCGCGCAGAAGAACCUGCCCGGCACGUGACUCGUGCUCGAUGAAGAGGAACGUUUCUUUGCGUUGCUUUGCAAGCUGCGUCUAGCCGCUGCUCAGGAAGCACCUGAAUACGGGAUGUCGCACGUCGCACUCUGGAUUUGAUUUGCUUGGCUUCGUUUGUGCGAACACGUUUUAAGUGGGAGCGUACCGUCAACCAUUAAGGCACACGCGCGCACGCCCGUAUUAAACGAGUCGAGUAUGUCCGUUCGGGCACGGCCGGGAUAGAUCAUCCGUGAAAUUACAUAAUAAACGGGUAAGCGCGCGCGCCUUGCGGUUAAAAAGCUCACCACAGGCCAGAAUGCCACGGUUGUGUUCAAGAGGGAACGAUCGCCCCCGUGCCGUACACGACAUGCCCAAUGUCCGGUGAAUCCAAAAACCCGAUCAACCGGCUCGAACUCGUCCCAUCAUUGCGCGUAACGUAAGCGGAUUAUCCCGGACAGAAGCUCUAAACCUCCAAACUCAAUUCUCUCGGCUGUUCGGUAUGCUCGUGAAACAAUUCUCUCCGCUACAGCUGGCUCACCGCGAAAGGGGAAGAUUAGAACAACACUGACCGUGAUUUUGCGUCACAAUGCUGGGAUUUUGUGAACCGUUUGCCAAUUGUGAAAGAUUUUCCAGUAAAUCUAAAGAACAACAAUCGUACUUCGUUGAGCUAUUAGGUCAUUAGGCGUAAUCUUGUCAGCACAGGCAACAAGCUGAAAGGUUUCGUUUUUGGAAAUGUGCAGGGGUUUUCUACAAUAUUUAGAACGGUUGUGACGGAAUGACAGACAUUUGGCAGCUUAUCAGAGUGCAACAUUUUUUCAGGUUGGAACUGAAGAUUUCUUUUCCAUGCCAUGGUUAUUGUAAAAUUGUUUAGUUAGAUUGAGUUACAGUGUACAAUUAUACUAAUGUUAUAAACAACAUAUCAGUUGUAGGAAGCAGAUCAACUCGAAAAAAACAAAAUAUCUUUGAAACUUAAAGUUCAAUGUUGAGUUCAAUCUUACGUCCCUUUUAUUUGUGUUGCAAGUAGCAAUAUUUUUAAAUAAUAAAUACAUAAACAAUAAGUAACAAUAA